rnacentral:rRNA from 1 species
UACGGAGGGUGCGAGCGUUGUCCGGAAUCAUUGGGCGUAAAGGGCGCGUAGGUGGCCCGGUCAGUUCGUGGUGAAAGCGCGGGGGCUCAACCCUGCGUCGGCCAUGAAUACUGCCGCGGCUGGAGCACUGUAGAGGCAGGCGGAAUUCCGGGUGUAGCGGUGGAAUGCGUAGAGAUCCGGAAGAACACCGGUGGCGAAGGCGGCCUGCUGGGGCCAGUUGCUGACACUGAGGCGCGACAGCGUGGGGGAGCAAACAGG